rnacentral:rRNA from 1 species
GACGAACGCUGGCGGCGUGCUUAACACAUGCAAGUCGAACGGAAAGGCCCUGCUUUUGUGGGGUGCUCGAGUGGCGAACGGGUGAGUAACACGUGAGUAACCUGCCCUUGACUUUGGUAUAACUUCAGGAAACUGGGGCUAAUACCGGAUAGGAGCUCCUGCUGCAUGGUGGUGGUUGGAAAGUUUCGGCGGUUGGGGUUGGACUCCGGGCUUAUAAGCUUGUUGGUGGGGUAGUGGCUUACCAAGGCUUUGACGGGUAGCCGGCCUGAGAGGGUGACCGGCCAAAUUGGGACUGGGAUACGGCCCAGACUCCUACGGGAGGAAGCAGUGGGGAAUAUUGCACAAUGGGCGGAAGCCUGAUGCAGCAACGCCGCGUGCGGGAUGACGGCCUUCGGGUUGUAAACCGCUUUCGCCUGUGACGAAGCGUGAGUGACGGUAAUGGGUAAAGAAGCACCGGCUAACUACGUG